rnacentral:rRNA from 1 species
CCUACGGGGGGCUGCAGUGAGGAAUAUUGGUCAAUGGGCGCGAGCCUGAACCAGCCAAGUAGCGUGAAGGAUGACUGCCCUACGGGUUGUAAACUUCUUUUAUAAAGGAAUAAAGUGAGGCACGUGUGCCUUUUUGUAUGUACUUUAUGAAUAAGGAUCGGCGAACUCCGGGCCAGCAGCCGCGGUAAUACGGAGGAUCCGAGCGUUAUCCGGAUUUAUUGGGUUUAAAGGGAGCGUAGUUGGGUUGUUAAGUCAGUUGUGAAAGUUUGCGGCUCAACCGUGAAAUUGCAAUUGAUACUGGCAGCCUUGAGUACAGUUGAGGUAGGCGGAAUUCGUGGUGUAGCGGUGAAAUGCUUAGAUAUCACGAAGAACACCGAUUGCGAAGGCAGCCUACUAAACUGCCACUGACGUUGAUGCUCGAAAGUGUGGGUAUCAAACAGGAUUAGAUACCCGAGUAGUC